UAGUCGUAAACCAAGGUUUCCGUAGGUGAACCUGCGGAAGGAUCAUUAAUGAGUUUUGAAAACGGAAGUCUGUUGCUGGUACGGAAACGUUACAUUGUGCACGGUUUCUGUGCUCAAUCCAUUUCAACCCCCUGUGCACCUUAUCGAAGUUAAUAGUCUCUUUUCUUUUGCUGGUUAUAUGCAGGUGCAGAUUACAAGUAGUAAAUAAAGGCGAACGCAACUUGUUGUUAGUAGCUUGAAACCGAAAGUAGUCUGUCCGCUUGGCCGGUAAGGGGAAGAGAGUCGAAAGCUUUGACUUUUCAUAAACACUUUGUAUGUCUUGUGGAAUGUAUUAGCUCCUUGUGGGCGAAAUAAUUACAACUUUCAACAACGGAUCUCUUGGCUCUCGCAUCGAUGAAGAACGCAGCGAAAUGCGAUAAGUAAUGUGAAUUGCAGAAUUCAGUGAAUCAUCGAAUCUUUGAACGCACCUUGCGCCCCUUGGUAUUCCGAGGGGCAUGCCUGUUUGAGUGUCAUGUUUAUCUCAAACCCCUUGUCUUUGUUGACUCGGUUUGGUUUGGAUUUGGAGGGUUUGCUGGCAUUUAAUGUCUACUUGAUUGUAGACUUUGUCGGCUCCUCUUAAAUUCAUUAGCUAGGACUUUGGUUCGCAUGAAACGGUGUAAUAGUAAAGUGUUCAUCGGAGUGCUUGCUUAAUGAGUCUGCUUCUAAUUGUCCUUUGGACAAGGUCACUUUUGACCUUUGUUGACCUUUUGACCUCAAAUCAGGUAGGAUUACCCGCUGAACUUAAGCAUAUCAAUAAGCGGAGGAAAAGAAACUAACAAGGAUUCCCCUAGUAACUGCAGAAAAAAGGGGAAAAAA
rnacentral:rRNA from 1 species